AAUACAAGCUAUCUUAUCGCCGUUGGCCGCAAGGCUGAAGGAGGAAAGUCCGGGCAACACAGAGCAUCUUACUACCUAACGGGUAGGCUGUUGUUUAGAAAUGAACAAUGGACAGACAGGGCCGCAGAAAAUAACCACCAUGCCUCGGUGUGGAAAGGGUGAAAAAGUGAGGUAAGAGCUCACUCGUGGCGCGGCGACGCGCCAUUGGGGUAAACCUUAGGAGUUGAAAGACCAAAUAGGUUCCGAUUAUGGUGCUGCUCGUACCACAUGGCGCCCAGGCGUCAUUAACCGGAAUGGGUAGGUCGUUUGAGCCUUGCAGUGAUGUAAGGACUAGAUAAAUGAUAAGAGUCACGCCUUUGGCGUGAAACAGAACCCGGCUUACAGGCUUGUAUUGCUU
rnacentral:RNase_P_RNA from 2 species